rnacentral:rRNA from 1 species
GACGAACGCUGGCGGCGUGCUUAACACAUGCAAGUCGAACGGUGAAGCGCCUUCCUUUUUGGUGGGUGUGGAUGAGUGGCGAACGGGUGAGUAACACGUGAGUAACCUGCCCCCUUCUUCUGGAUAACCGCAUGAAAGUGUGGCUAAUACGGGAUAUUCUGGGUCUGUCGCAUGAUGGGUCUGGGAAAGAUAUUGUUUCGGUGGGGGAUGGGCUCGCGGCCUAUCAGCUUGUUGGUGGGGUGAUGGCCUACCAAGGCGGUGACGGGUAGCCGGCCUGAGAGGGUGGACGGUCACACUGGGACUGAGACACGGCCCAGACUCCUACGGGAGGCAGCAGGGGGGAAUAUUGCACAAUGGGCGCAAGCCUGAUGCAGCGACGCCGCGUGAGGGAUGGAGGCCUUCGGGUUGUGAACCUCUUUCGCCAGUGAAGCAGGCCUGCCUCGUUUGUGGGUGGGUUGACGGUAGCUGGAGAGGAAGCGCCGGCUAACUACGUG